UCAGGACGAACGCUGGCGGCGUGCCUAAUACAUGCAAGUCGAACGGUCUUUCUAUGGAAGCUUGCUUCCACUGAGAAGAUAGUGGCGAACGGGUGAGUAACACGUGGGUAACCUGCCCAUAAGAGGGGGGAUAACAUCCGGAAACGGGUGCUAAUACCGCAUAGUUUUCUUGAUCGCAUGAUCGGGAAAGGAAAGACGGCCUUUGUGCUGUCGCUUAUGGAUGGACCCGCGGCGUAUUAGUUAGUUGGUGAGGUAACGGCUCACCAAGACGAUGAUACGUAGCCGACCUGAGAGGGUGAUCGGCCACAUUGGGACUGAGACACGGCCCAAACUCCUACGGGAGGCAGCAGUAGGGAAUCUUCCGCAAUGGACGAAAGUCUGACGGAGCAACGCCGCGUGAGUGAAGAAAGGUUUUCGGAUCGUAAAACUCUGUUGUCAGAGAAGAACAAGUUGGAGAGUAACUGCUCCAGCCUUGACGGUAUCUGACCAGAAAGCCACGGCUAACUACGUGCCAGCCGCUGC
rnacentral:rRNA from 1 species